CUGCAUCCCCAGUGUCCUGCUGUGCCGAGGAGGAGACCAGGCUGCGUUCAGGCAACGUCCUUGUGGACCCUGCCCUUGACCCCCACCUCCUACGUCUCAGGGUCAGUUUGAGCCCUUCAGAGAGCGGAUGGAGUCCUUCAGGUUCAUCUCAGUGGGGCAGAGGAAGAGAAUUCUGAGGUGUCUAGAAGUCUGAAAGCAGUGGCUUUGCCUGUGGCCUUGGGCAGGAGAAAGAGUGAGCAGUGAUGGCUAAGGGACUUGCCCAGAUCACUUAGUUGUGAAGAAGAGCAACUACCCUGGUAGUUGCCUGUUUGAAGGCCUCGGACUCACAGAGGCAAAGGUGGGAAGAGACACCAUUCAUCCCCCUCUCUCUUAGCUUUUGUCUGCAGGCCAUCUGACCAGUUUCACACAGACUGCUACUCCCGUUCUCAGCUUGAUCAAUGGCCACUGAAGAAUUUGAAUAAGCCCUGCAGGCAAGGCUCUGACUGCAGCUGACCUGCAUCUUGGUAGAAGGUCUUGAGGUCCUCCUUGGAGUCCAGCGGAGCCCAGACUGGGGUGCCAUGAACCCUUGUCCUGGCCACCACCAGCUUCAGUGUGGGAUCCCCUAAGAACUGCCAGCUCUUCUCAGAUGAAUCUAUGGCUCGAGGGGGGACAUGCAGUCUGAGGACCUGGAAGGGGACAGUCUAUGGGAUUCAGGGAGGAAGAAAAAGGGAACUUCAGUCUGAAAUGUGAGUAAAUGCAAAGGCCCAGAGGCAAGAAACACAGGGAGGAUUUCAGCGGUACCAGGCACCCAGUAACCACGUGUGCUGCUAAUUAUUUGCUACUGUAAUCACCUCCUUUUCCUCCUUUGACUU
rnacentral:lncRNA from 1 species